rnacentral:lncRNA from 1 species
GUCUGAACUUGACUUGUUAGGCCAUAAGGAAAGACAAAGGUCAAGGUUGUCCCAAGGGACCCUGGUGACAAAGGCCAAAGCAAAACCACAUGAGAAAGAAUUACAGGGCUUUUGUUUUUGUACAGAAAACCAUGUCAACCACUGUGGACGGCCGGAUGCGAUAUGGUAUGAUACUUGGAGAAGCAGCUCUCAAAAUUCUUAUGUUGCGUUGAUCUGAGGCCUGAAGCCAACUGAAUGGAGCCAUCACCACAGACUAAUUAAUGACUCCCUGGGCAGCUCUAAUUUGUCCAGACAUAAAGGGGGCUGCCCACACACUUUUCCCUGGAAA